AGGUUCAAUUAUAUCAACCUCAUUUAGCCGGCAGAGGAAUCUCAAAGUAACUCCACGAAUGUACUCAUUUGGAUGCUGCAAGUUAUUCCUCAAGUUCUGACAAAUUAGGAUCAUUUCUGGAAGUACACGCCCCUUAGAAUCGGUCUUCUCGAUAAUCUCCAAAUACAAAAGCAGCAGCUUUUGAAUCGUGUGAUCUUCAGAGGGCAAGACAUAUCUAAUAAUAGUAAUGAACAGUUGGGGUAGAGUUUCACCAUUCAACAAAAGCAUGACAGCUUUCUUCAUGGCAUCAACCUUGGCAGUAACGUCGCUCCCUUCAAGAGCUUCCUUGAUCUCAUUGGCAAGAGCUGGAGUGCCCUUAUCAAAGUGUAUCAGCAAAGAACAGGACUUCUCCAUUUUAUUCUAGAUAGCUUACCAGAUUGAAGGCAGAAAUGGUGAGAUCAAAGUGAAGAAUCUUCGGAAGAGAAAUUUGGUAGAGAAAAUUUUUUGGGUUGUGGGAAACGGAGGAGAGAAAAUGAGGAAUUUUAUGAAAAAAGAGAAAAAAAUUGGUCUUCUUCUCAGAUCUG
rnacentral:misc_RNA from 1 species